rnacentral:rRNA from 1 species
AAAUAGAUACCCCAGGUAGUCCAUGCCGUAAACGUUGGGCACUAGGUGUGGGGCUCAUUCCACGAGUUCCGUGCCGCAGCAAACGCAUUAAGUGCCCCGCCUGGGGAGUACGGCCGCAAGGCUAAAACUCAAAGAAAUUGACGGGGGCCCGCACAAGCGGCGGAGCAUGCGGAUUAAUUCGAUGCAACGCGAAGAACCUUACCAAGGCUUGACAUACACCGGAAAAGUGCAGAGAUGUGCUCCCCGUAAGGUCGGUGUACAGGUGGUGCAUGGUUGUCGUCAGCUCGUGUCGUGAGAUGUUGGGUUAAGUCCCGCAACGAGCGCAACCCUCGUCCUAUGUUGCCAGCACGUGAUGGUGGGGACUCAUAGGAGACUGCCGGGGUCAACUCGGAGGAAGGUGGGGAUGACGUCAAAUCAUCAUGCCCCUUAGGUCUUGGGCUUCACGCAUGCUACAAUGGCCGGUACAAAGGGGCUGCGAUACCGCGAGGUGGAGCGAAUCCCAAAAAGCCGGUCUCAGUUCGGAUUGGGGUCCGCAACUCCG